rnacentral:rRNA from 1 species
CGCUUGGCCACUCACGCACACAUCCAUUCAUCCAUGCCCACUCGGCCACACACAUGAACGCUCAUAGCUAGAGCCCUUGGCUCUCACGCGACACACACUCACGCUCACUCACACAUGAGGCCGAGUAGAGAAUAAGUGUAGUCAGCUUCCCGAUUCGUCCAGAUACAGUUUUAAGAGCAACUCUGUACUGCUACGUAUACACUGCAUAUAUCAUCAGACAUGUAGGAGUAGGGGUAUUAUCUCUCCGGAGAGCCCCGAACCUGGGUAAAUCACCGCGUGUUGUUUGCCCAAUCCCGUCCCUUGAUCUCUAGAGCAGUCUUGCCCUCACCUCAAACCACCCCGUGGCAUCUGUCAUCUCACGAACCCGACCGCGAGAUAACCACGACAGUUGGCGUCCACCGUGGGGCGGUACUAUGAAACCAGCUGCCGCGGAACUGUGGUCUGGGCGGGACCAUUUUCAUCAUCGUCGCCGCCGUUGCCUCUCCGGUUGCGCUCGGGGGCUCGACAUCGACAGGCCCCUAGGGCGACCGCGCUGGGCGGUGCGUUCUCGUCGUCGGUCUCGGCCUCUUUGUCACCAUCGCUGCAGCACAGGCUGUCCGUCGCGGCUCUGCGUUGCUCUGUCCGCCGCCGCCUUCCCCGCGAGCGACGCCUGCCUCGUCGCCUGCUUCGCGCCCUUCUUCUCAGGCUUCGCUACCAUCUGUUGUUGCUGCUACUUGUCGCUGCCCAUACACUACCAGACACUUCUCACAUGCUAGCCAGACACAAGCCAGAUAAUACUCGUAGCAUGGUCAGAUAAUGCCUUACAUUGGUCAGACUAUGGCCAAAUACUACUCGUACACCACCCAGACUAUAGCCGUACACUGUACGUGCCUUGGUCGGAUGCUCCAUCUCCGCGCUGCUCCGGCCGACUCCGCGCGUCCGUGCGCCGCUGUGCUACAGCCAGCUCGUCAUCGCCGUCGUCUGCUCCCGCAGCAGCGGCCACGGCAAACACUCCCCUCGUGGGGUCAUCUCCGUCCUCGCCCGCAGGCCAUCCGCUUCGUCCUCGCUCCUCCUACCAACGCCCCGCGGGCACCCGUCGGCGGCCCGUCCUCGAGCAGCUCCUCCGCGGCCAGCUCCGGCAGCCCGCCGGCUCCGUUCGCCGCGCCCACCCCGGCCGGCUCUAGCCCCGCGCCGGCUCGCGUCCCUGCCCGGCAGGCUCCGGCCCCGCGCUGGCUCGCGCCCCUGCCCGGCCAGCUCCGGCCUCCCUUCUGCGUCCUCCGCGAACCCGGCUCCGGCCUCGCAGCGCGCGCCCCACGGCCGGCUCCGUUCGCCGCGCCUGCGCCAGGCUCCGCUCCGCGCCUCUGGGCUCGCGGUUGUGUGCCUCCAACUCCGGCUCCGGUUCGCCCCACCACGCUGCUGCGCCCCAGGCACGAAAGCCUCCCGCGCCCGCGCCGGCGGCCGCCUGCCCUGCACGCCUGCACCCCCCCUCCCCCGCGUCCGGGUUCGCCUUCCCGCGCCCUCCUCUGACCCGGCCACGCCCGCUCGCCGGCUCCGCGCAACUCCUCCGCCCCGUCGCCUCGCGUCUCCCCACUCCGCCGGCUUCGCGCCACAUCACCGCGCCCGAACCGCCGCCGGCCGCGUCCGCCUCGCCCCUGCCGAGUCCGCGUGCGCCGGCCUCCCCGCCGUCUCGGUUCCGUCGCUCGGCCGGCUCGUGCCCGCAACCCGACCCCCAUCGCGGUCCUGCCUCGUGUCGCCUCCUCCGGCUCGCCGCUCCACCCGAGCUGGCUCCCCGCCCCGGCCUGCCGCCGCCACGCACGUCCGAAUCAGCGCGACCGCGCCUCGCGGGCUUGCGCUUUCGUAACCCCGGCCGGCUCGUGUUGCUCAUCUGCUGCGGCCGGGUGCCCGGUGGAUAUAAAAAAAGUGAUGCCAGCAAAAAAAAGAAGUCGGCUAAAAAAAGGAAGAAGAAGGCUGCGAGACGCCUCCGCCCGACCGCGGCGCCGCUCCGCCGGCGCCCCUGCCUGCCCGGUCGGCUGUGCCAAGCCGACCCAGCCGCCUGCCACAUCGCCGGCUGUGCCAAGCCGGCUCAGCUACAUCUCGCUCCAUCGUUUGGCCGGUCAGGCUCGACUGGUCGGACCCCCUUCGAGCGCCCGGAGGAUUGAAGGCUACCCCCAGUGGGUGCGCCGGUAUGCUCCGCGAGCACCAAGCCGCGUCGGCUGCAAGCCGGCAGCCGGCUGUCAUCGACGACCUCUGGCUCGUCCAUGAAAAUGCACUGUGAGCUCCUCACCCACAUAUUUUUGCAUAGUACGCACCAACCCGGAUAAUCCCGAGCGACACUCGGGGAUCACAUCUGCCUUUAUUACAGUUGCACUACUGUUUGCCCCGGCGCCGGCUAGUCUCGGCCCGGAGGCUGGCCGCUCGGCCCGAUACGUUCGUUCCCGCAUACGGCUUAGUAGCGCAUACGGUACCAAAGGUCCACUCUCAGCCACAGACGGUAGCGCGGCUGUCCGGCAAGCGAGAGCAAAAGCUGGAGGUCACCCCACGCGAAAAACGUCCGGGAGAAGAUGGCUUGGGCAACCCGGCCGUUUCCUUUAUGAGUAUCUACUCGGUCGAAUCUGCUCCUGUAGUCCGAGCAUUGUACGCUCCACACCGCGGCCACUCUUCAUAACAGCUACAGACCGCCUCCGGGCUGUCUAGCUAACAAGAGGCAAAGCCAAAAGAGCGGAGGGGACAUGAAAAAGACUGAAGGGGGCUCGGACGAAACCGAGGCAGCACCCACUGCAUAAACCUUGCACCAUGAAAAGAAAAUAUUUGAUAUAUCUGCACAGACUAACCUUGUCUCUUGGCACGAUCACCUCUGUGGGGAACCCCCUCCUCGCCCGGAGGCUCGGAGGCUACACGCCGGGUGCACCGCGCAGUCGGCCGCCGUCAUCAACAACAGAAAAGACCCUCCGCCCAACUCUUCCCAGUUGCGCGGAGGCUCGGAGGCCACACCCAGUGGGUGCGCUCGCGCGCCCCCACUCAGCAGGCGGACUCCGCGUCCGCGUCCGGCAGGGCCCCGUGCCCUCCAGCCGGCGAACUCCAUGUCCGCGCCCGGCACCCUCGACGUCACCGUCGGCUUGUUCAUCAACAGCAAGACCCUCCGCCCAACUUUUCCAAGUUACCCGGAGGCUCGGAGGCUACACCCAAUGGGUGCGCUUGCGCGCCCCCACUCGGAACACACCGCGCCUGUUGCACGUCCACCGUCGGCUGCAGCCGGCAUCUUCGACACCAUCUACUACAUCGACACCCGCUAAAACCCUCCGCGCAACUUUUCCAACUUGCCCGGAGGCUCAGAGGCUACGGUCAGGGGGAUGACCCCCGGGUAUGCCCAAGACGGCGAAACAACCCUUCAAAACAUUGCCAGGGGAGUAACCCCUGGCUGGCUGGAACUUGGCUGGCUGGAAUCUGGCCGGGUUGACUUUGGCCGGGUUGACCUGUCUGGGUUAACUUUGGCCUGGUUGACCUGUCCGGGUUGACCCUGACCGGGUUGACCUUGGCCGGGUUGACCUGUCUGGCUUGACCCUGGCCGGGUUGACCUUGGCCGGGUUGAGCUGUCCGGGUUGAUCCUGGCCGGGUUGAGCCCAUCCGGGGUCUCCCUGGCCGGGUUGAGCUGUCCGGGUUGAGACCCGUCCGGGUUGAGGCCCGUCAGGGUUGAGCCCGUCCGGCUGGAAUCUAGCCAAGUCAACUAAGACGUCCCGUCAAACCUGCGCUGACGUGAUGGUCAUACUAUAAAGUGGAGCACUGUAGAUAAGCAGCCAACACUGUUCUUGCAUCAUGUGACACUUCACUGCGCUCCAAUAGUGAUGCACUAUAGCCUGCAACAUCAUAUGACAUCUCAAUAGUGUAGUGGGUGUGUGGGCCACACCUUGUCCCUGAGCACUAGUGUCGGUGUCCUGGGAACGGGGGUCCCCAGACUUGCCUGCCUGCGGCCCACGGCGUGGCUCCUCCAGCGGCCCUGUACGGCCCAUCUGCACCAGCAAACACUCAAGACCCUCGCGCGGGGCCAAGCCUCGCGAGGCGGACGACACAAGACCUCCUCGGGAGCGACCUCACCAGGCUGGCUCGCAAGGGGCGGAGAGAUCAAGGCAAGGCACACCUCUCGAGGUUCCUGUGACGCAAGCCAUGACGACUGGAGCCAGGCGGGCGCCAGCGCGCAGUGUCCUCGUUUCCUCUUUGGUGCUAAAGGGGCAAGCGCAGGCGAGGAGUCCCGAGGCAUCAGGCAAAGGUUUCCAUAUCGGUGCAACGAGACCAAGACCAGUAGGACGGCAAGACGGAGGUCACCGUGGAGCCCAAGAUGGCGUCACCACCAGAGCCUUUGGCAGGCGAAGACCACCUUUAGUCAGGAUAACUUGUACUAGUUGUCUCCCUUCAAAUUUGGCCAUUGUUGGCUCCCUUCCCGCUCAAUAUUUGGGGAGAGGACCAGGGCCUCUAUAAAUAGGACUAGCCACCACAGUAGGAGGCAACUGAUUCAGAUCAUCCUCACCCACACAAGUCCACCAAGCACAAGAACACCUCUCCUCAUGAGGCUGUUCUUCCCUUGUACUGUUUAUCAUCAGCCCAAGAGGCAAUCCACCACACACACUUGAGUAGGGUAUUACACCACAACGGUGGCCCGAACCAG